UCUACUUUGUCGAAAAUGUAUCAUGUCAAUUGUCAACUCAACUAGAAAUGCUGUUGACCAAUCAUAAUUUAAUCUAAUCUAGUCUAACGUUUUACAAUUUCACCUUCUCAAAGUUCGAACUUCGAUCACCGACAAUGAUUUUUCUGUUUAUUAACACAUUUAACACUCGCUCGUGUGGUGACGGAAAACGUCAUGAGGAAAUUGCCACACCUAGAACCAAAAAGUCGCAAGCGUGUAUCAGACAUGCGUAUAGACAGCCCAACCCUAGGGGUUGUAUCCACUGUUCUUUAUAUCUAAAAAAUAGUUUUAGAUUAAAUAAAUUAUAAAUACAUAAAUAUGAAUAAUUUAGUGUAUCUCGCCUAGUAACGAAUUAAACCGUAUGUCGCUAGUGAAACGGCUGAACUGUGAAUUGAACGGCUAAUUAAGGCUAGUUGGCUGUGACGUAUGUAUAUAUAUAUAAAUAAAAUUGUCUUAUUUAGGAGCAUUUGAUUUCUAUAUAUCCGCAGUUCGAAAAAAACUCGUGAGGGGUAGUGGUACCGGUCUUGCAGCACAUUACACAUGGCCCAUGUAUGCAACUUUCCGUUUCUGAUGAGGAUGAUUUCAACAUUACCUAAUAAGAGGUAAUAAAAUCGAUCGCAAUUCUUGGUUAAUUUAUAUUUAGUAUGUAAAUAUGUAUUCUUUUUCAUAUAUAGCCAAAACUUAAAAGAUUUCAUAACCUUAUUACUAUAAUAUUUUAAUGUAUGGCUUCUCUUAAAAAGAACUCUUGUAAAUUGUAUGCACCCAUAACGAUAUUGUGCAGUGUUGGCCUAGUGGCUUCUUCGUGCGACUCUCAUCCCUGAUGUCGUAGGUACGUUCUCCGGCUAUGCACCAAUGUACUUCCUUUUUAUUAUAAUUAUACACAUUCGCUCAAACCGUGAAGGAAAACAUCGUGAGGAGAAUAGCUUGCCAUAGACCCAGACAGUCGACGGCGUGUGUCAGGCACAGGUGGCUGAUCACCUACUUCCCUAAUAGAUUGACAAAUGAUCAUGAAACAUAUACAGAAAUCAGAAGCCCAGAUCGAAGAAGGUUGUAGCGCCACUGACUUUUGUAUAACAUAAUCGUUUUUAAAAAAUAAGGCAGCCAUAACAAUUACAUUUUGAAAAGUGUUCGAUCUUAGUAAUGACCAACUUCAGUGUUGUAUAUUAGAAGAAAUGAGAUACUCAAUAUUAUGAGUAGUAAGGAUAUAUUAUGAGUAGGUACAUAAUUUAUUAUAUAAAACUGUCUUUUAAAUUGUCGUCAUAAUGUUAUCUGACUGUUCGAUUCCAAUUCCAAAUAUCGUUAAUAAUAAAUGCAUUUUAUCGUAAUUUAUAAAUGACUAGGUGUGCGCCCCGGUAUCAUCCGCAUUAAUUUAGAAUCGCCUUGCAGUUACUGCGAAAUUAUUUUGAAAAUAUAUACUUACAUUAAAAUAAAAUGAUAUCAAGGGAAGUUUUGUGCCACAUUAAUAUAUA